CUGCGUUGGCAACUUGCAAACCAACUUUAUUGAUACUUUCACUGCCACUUCACUUGGUUUCUGAUUUCAGAUGCUCUCUACUUUCUCUCUCUAGGGUUUCACUUCUGCACGUGGAGGUUUUCGUCUCUUCCCUGAAUUAGUAAAUGUGUCACCGUCGAAGAUUUCUAUUUUAUGCAAAAAAAUAAGAAUGAUUUUUCUAACUGUGAUUUUCAUUUUUUUGGGUUGUGGUUUCAGAUUCUCUGAAAAUAUGCUUUGUUUCAUUUUUACUUAUUUUUAUUAAAGAACAAUGUUCAAUCUCGUCUCUCGAUCUCAAUAUAUUUCUUAUUGUACCAGUGACAUACACAUAUUUUUAAGCCCCAUUUUUAGCAAAGUAUAUUUUUUGCAAUAUUAAAUUGAUGGAUAAUGUAUGGUUAAAAAAUGAGGAAAUUUUUUUUAUUGUAUGGUUGAAGAGAAAAGGAGAAAAAUGUAUUUUGAAAAUAAUGAAAUCAUACAAGCCCUAAUAUUUUUUUUGCAAUGAGUGUACUGUGUAAAUGGUGAGACAGAAGAUUCAGAUCAAGAAGAUUGAUAACUUGAUGGCACGCCAAGUCACUUUUCAAAGAGAAUAAGAGGGGUUUUCAAAAAAGCUCAAGAACUCUUUACUCUUUCUGAUGCUGAGGUUGCCCUAAUUGUUUUUCUGCAACUGGUAAACUCAUCCAUUAUUCUAGCUCAAGCAUGAUGCAUCUAAUUGAAAGGAAUAGAAAGCAACAGAGAAUUCCAACAAAUUAGGGCAGCGGUCCCUCUGACUUAAGGUCGUGACAACAAAAGGUGGCCAGAUUGGUUAUCCCUCCACAAUAUAUGGUGAGCGACCUUUAUGACGAUAGGCGGGAGGCACGAGGCGGUGACCAUGGCGUGCAUGUUAUGGCUAAAAGAGACUGGUGCAAUGAUGGGUUUAGUCGAGAGCCUGACUGUAGAUAUGUUGCAAAUGGAAAACUCAGAGAUGGAGAGUGUUCCGGUAAUUGAGGGGCUAACUUUGGUUAUGAGAUUGGCUAGCAACACCCGUGGGGACAACAAUUCAUAUUGUUGUACUGAUGUUAAGAUGGAGUUGGACACAAAUUUAUAAAUCUUUGAGGAAUAAUAUGGAUCAACUUGCUAAUUUUGAGAAUCAAUUCUCAAUGUCAAAAGAUGAUCAUCAUGAAAUUAUGGCAGUUGGUAAAAUUGGAACCACAAUGAUGUAAAUGAAAUAAUUUGCACACUUAAAUGGUCAGUUUCUAGUAGAAGGCCACAUGGUUGAACAAGUCAUAGGGUCAAAUAUACUUGGACCAUUUGGAAAUCCCAAAAUUUUGCAACGCAAUAACUCUAAAUGUUUCAGUGAAUUUGUUGGGAUACGGUGGGAUAGAAGUGAAAAAAUUUAAUUAAUUGCACAAUUUUUUCAUGAUCCUUAGAAUCAAGAUAUGUGGAUAAUAUCUAUGAAAUUGACAUAUUAGUUGAAUCACCGUCCCUGUGAGGUGUCGGAUGAGUGACUAAAGAUUCGAGAGUGAGUCUUCUCCAACCCAAGGAGAAUCAUGCAAUUGGACCCCGUUUAAUGUAAUAUUUUGUUGUUUAAUUUUCUUCUCGUUAAUUAAUUAAUUUCCUAAUCCACUCUUAAACAAAUAAACAUCUUGUCCACUCUCAACUAGUUCCCAAUUGCCUUACCAUUCUUAAUUGCUUUAAUCAUUUCUUUAAUGUCUUUCUUUCAUUUAUCAUCUUGAAUGGUGUCAUUGAAAUCAAUAACUGCAUAAUUGGUAAAUAGGCAAAACAAAGUUAAUUUCCCAAGAUGUCGACAUAACUCCUCUGUAUCACCAUAAAUCUCCCUAAGACUAUUAAAAUGAUGUGGUAUUUUACUUGAAAAUGAUGAACAUGAACGUAUAUCUUGACCAUAACUUGGAGGUGGAGUUGAUAGUGUUAGUUGAGGUGGAAUCACAUCAACUUGUUCAUCAUCAUCGAAAGGAAAAAAAAUAUGUUAUAAUCUUGCUGCUUUAGCCAAUUCCAAUGUCGAACUCAACAUCUCUACUAGUGAUCACCUACUUAUUCAUUGGGUUGUAUAGCUUAUUAACUUUUGAUCCUGAGCAUAGCCAACUAAGAUAUAUUUCUCUCUUGCAUCUAGUUUUAUUUUUUCUUUCAGAACACGAGAUAAAGCAAUGCUCUUGAAAAUCGAAAAAUAUGAUAUACUCGGUUGGAAUCCACUCCAUGCUUCUUUAGGAGUCAUUUUGCAAACUUCGAUGGGACAUCGAUUCAGCAAAGAUAUGGCACACUGAGUUGCUUCGGCCUUGAACUUCUUUUGCAUCUUCUUAGUUUUCAAAAAUGCAUGGAGUUAUUUUUAUGAGGCCUACUCGUCCUCUUUGCGAUUAAAGAAUGAUAAAUACCAUGAUCUUUACAUAUAAUCUUGAAUGUGUUGCUAAUAUAUUCACUACCAUGAUUUGAUUAUGAA